GGCGCCCGGUGGCGGACCGGACGGCGAGCCCGCUCCUGGCGGGGAUCCCGCCGGUGAACCCGGCGGCUCCGUUCCGGACGGCUCGGGCGGCUC
rnacentral:tRNA from 1 species